rnacentral:rRNA from 1 species
AGUGAACGCUGGCGGUAGGCCUAACACAUGCAAGUCGAACGGCAGCACAGUAAGAGCUUGCUCUUACGGGUGGCGAGUGGCGGACGGGUGAGGAAUACACCGGAAUCUACUUUUUCGUGGGGGAUAACGUAGGGAAACUUACGCUAAUACCGCAUACGACCUACGGGUGAAAGCAGGGGAUCUUCGGACCUUGCGCGAUUGAAUGAGCCGAUGUCGGAUUAGCUAGUUGGCGGGGUAAAGGCCCACCAAGGCGACGAUCCGUAGCUGGUCUGAGAGGAUGAUCAGCCACACUGGAACUGAGACACGGUCCAGACUCCUACGGGAGGCAGCAGUGGGGAAUAUUGGACAAUGGGCGCAAGCCUGAUCCAGCCAUACCGCGUGGGUGAAGAAGGCCUUCGGGUUGUAAAGCCCUUUUGUUGGGAAAGAAAAGCAGCAGGUUAAUACCUCGCUGUACUGACGGUACCCAAAGAAUAAGCACCGGCUAACUUCGUG